UACGUAGGGGGCGAGCGUUGUCCGAAGUUACUGGGCGUAAAGCGCGCGUAGGCGGGCUGUUAAGUGAGAGGUGAAAGGCUGGGGCUCAACUCCAGCAGUGCCUCUCAUACUGGCAGUCUUGAGGGCGGUAGAGAGAAGUGGAAUGGCUGGUGUAGCAGUGAAAUGCGUAGAGAUCAUGAGGAAGACCAGUGGCGAAGGCGGGUCUCUGGACAGUUCCUGACACUGAGGCACGAAGGCCAGGGGAGCAAACGGG
rnacentral:rRNA from 1 species